GACGAACGCUGGCGGCGUGCCUAAUACAUGCAAGUAGAACGCUGAAGGAGGAGCUUGCUUCUCUGGAUGAGUUGCGAACGGGUGAGUAACGCGUAGGUAACCUGCCUGGUAGCGGGGGAUAACUAUUGGAAACGGUAGCUAAUACCGCAUAAGAGUAGAUGUUGCAUGACAUUUGCUUAAAAGGUGCAAUUGCAUCACUACCAGAUGGACCUGCGUUGUAUUAGCUAGUUGGUGGGGUAACGGCUCACCAAGGCGACGAUACAUAGCCGACCUGAGAGGGUGAUCGGCCACACUGGGACUGAGACACGGCCCAGACUCCUACGGGAGGCAGCAGUAGGGAAUCUUCGGCAAUGGACGGAAGUCUGACCGAGCAACGCCGCGUGAGUGAAGAAGGUUUUCGGAUCGUAAAGCUCUGUUGUAAGAGAAGAACGAGUGUGAGAGUGGAAAGUUCACACUGGGACGGUAUCUUACCAGAAAGGGACGGCUAACUACGU
rnacentral:rRNA from 1 species